UACGAUAAAGGCAAACCCAGAGUGAUCGGGGGACGCAAAGUAAAGUGUCUUUAAAGAUCGAGAAGUAUCAAAAAAAGACAGCCUUACUGCCGAAG
rnacentral:ncRNA from 1 species